rnacentral:rRNA from 1 species
GACGAACGCUGGCGGCGUGCUUAACACAUGCAAGUCGAACGGAAAGGCCCUGCUUUUGUGGGGUGCUCGAGUGGCGAACGGGUGAGUAACACGUGAGUAACCUGCCCUUGACUUUGGGAUAACUUCAGGAAACUGGGGCUAAUACCGGAUAGGAGCUCCUGCUGCAUGGUGGGGGUUGGAAAGUUUCGGCGGUUGGGGAUGGACUCGCGGCUUAUCAGCCUGUUGGUGGGGUAGUGGCUUACCAAGGCUUUGACGGGUAGCCGGCCUGAGAGGGUGACCGGCCACAUUGGGACUGAGAAACGGCCCAGACUCCUACGGGAGGCAGCAGUGGGGAAUAUUGCACAAUGGGCGGAAGCCUGAUGCAGCAACGCCGCGUGCGGGAUGACGGCCUUCGGGUUGUAAACCGCUUUCGCCUGUGACGAAGCGUGAGUGACGGUAAUGGGUAAAGAAGCACCGGCUAACUACGUG